GGCCCUGUGGUGGAAUUGGUAGACGCGCUGGACUCAAAAUCCAGUGCCCUUUGCGGGCGUGGGAGUUCGAUUCUCCCCGGGGCCACCA
rnacentral:tRNA from 1 species